rnacentral:rRNA from 1 species
CCUGUGGGAAGCAGGAGGGACCACCCUCCAAGGCUAAAUACUACCUAGUGACCGAUAGCGUAUAGUACCGUGAGGGAAAGGUGAAAAGAACCCCGGGAGGGGAGUGAAAUAGAACCUGAAACCCUGCACUUACAAGCUGUGGAAGCACAUUUCUUGUGUGACCGCGUACUUUUUGUAGAACGGGCCAACGAGUUACGUUAAGUAGCAAGGUUAAGCACUUAAGGUGCGGAGCCGUAGCGAAAGCGAG